rnacentral:lncRNA from 1 species
UGCGGAUGAGCAUCGCUGCGGCCGCGAUGGAACCGACGGUGGAGAUCACUGUUUGAGGAUUGAUGGUUUUGCGUUUGGUUGAGGAUGACGGCAUUUUGGAAAUGUGAAGUUGUUGUUCGCGCAUAAUUCACCUUCUUAUCCACCGUGAACAACUUCAAUAUUUUAACGUUUUGUUUCUUCGCUUUCGCGUAGUUUAUAAUAUACGGUAAGUAGUCGUGUAACGCGAGAUCUUUGUGUUUCCAGUGAAACGUGAGAUGUAGCGAUCGUAGAUCGCUUCGGGUAGACCGACCGUUGUCGUCGUGAGUGUAAAACUCUCUCGUUGGGUUCUUCUUGGAAACUAAAGACCAACAGAAGUUGACUCCAUUAUAAAUAUCUGUAUACUCCUCGUUGAUUUCUAUUGCAACAUUAAUAUGUUGUUCGUUAGGGUUUUUUGUGACUUUUAGAUGGUGGAUAUCGGGGGAUAUUCGGUCUGCUAGGUAUAGUUGUGUAGCGGUGUAGAUUUCGUUGUCGUUAAAUCCUUCGUGUUCGUAAAUGACCAUGGUUAGUUGUGUGGAGAAUUUGUUGAUGAAGCUACGGAAGUGGAGAUAGAUGUGGU